CCAAUAGCGUAUAUUAAAGUUGUUGCAGUUAAAAAGCUCGUAGUUGAAUUUCGGGGUCAGUAGAUUGGUCGUGCCACUGGUAUGUACUGGUCUUACUGGCUCCUCCUUCCUGAUGAACCGUAAUGCCAUUAAUUUGGUGUUGCGGGGAGACUGGACUGUUACUUUGAAAAAAUUAGAGUGUUUAAAGCAGGCUAACGCUUGAAUACAUUAGCAUGGAAUAAUGAAAUAGGACGUUCGAUCUUAUUUUGUUGGUUUCUAGGAUUGACGUAAUGAUUAAUAGGGAUAGUUGGGGGCAUUAGUAUUCAAUUGUCAGAGGUGAAAUUCUUGGAUUUAUUGAAGACUAACUACUGCGAAAGCAUUUGCCAAGGAUGUUUUCAUUAAUCAAGAACGAAAGUUAGGGGAUCGAAGACGAUCAGAUACCGUCGUAGUCUUAACCAUAAACUAUGCCGACUAGGGAUCGGAUGAUGUUAAUUUUUUAAUGACUCAUUCGGCGCCUUACC
rnacentral:rRNA from 1 species